GUCAGUUACAAAUCUUAUAUCACUAUUCAUUUGAAUUAAAUAUAUAAACAAGGUGAUUGAAGAAAUGACCCAAAUAUCUAAUCUGGUCAAGUACAAGGACAGAUAUUUCAGACAUUAAACUGGCACAAGUGUUAAGGUAUUUUACCAAUCUUUGAUUUUAUUUAUCCAACCCUUGUGUAUGAUAUAGAAAUUCUAUUCAUUACAUUUAUAAAAUGUGCAAGCUUAGCAAUCAGUUCAUUUCCUUUUCUUCAUGCUUCAUAAUGUUUUUGAGAUCUAGCUGUAUUAAAAAAUAUCUGUGUGUUUUGAAGCUGUUUUUCAAACUUUGAGCAAUUGUAGGAGCACCUCAGGGGAGGAGCAUCAAUGACACAUGAAACAUUAACUUUAACAACUAUAAAUAAAAAUGGCAGUCAACUUCAACAAGAUGAGUGAUUUGGGUGUCACUAGAAAUCAACGGCAGUGUUUUAAAGUGUAAAGUAAGAGCAAGCAAUAUGUAAUUCGAAACAUUGAAAUGGGGGUAACUCGCAACCAGCUUAUAGUCGAGCCAACUGAAAUAUAAUUACAAAAUUUUGUUGUAGUCACGAAUGCAGAUCAAAUUCUGAGGCCACACCCCCUGUUGGAAAUAAAUUAACGAAGCAGUGUAUGCAAGUUCUUCAGAGUCCCCCUAGUCUAAUGGAGCCUAUCUUCAUUAACCAUCUGACACAGAAGUACCCUGUUCUGAUGGGAGGCUGUGAAAUUCUGUGUUCUCAAUGCUGACUGAAUGUGAAACGAUGAUUUACUAUAAAGAAUAAAGAAACCUUCUUUCCUAUC